CUGUAGUUCCGGGCAGCCAAGCUAUCCCUGAGCAGGGCCAAGGGAGAGCCUGACUGGCUUCCUGAAGCCUCCCGGCGGCUGCACCAGAACGCACUUCCGCGGCCUCGGAGGGGACACAGGGGGCUGCUCCGUCCGAGUGGGCGAGCGGGAUGCCCGGGCCGUGAGGAACCGGCCCAGAUUAUCUCUACUUUGUGUGCAGAUGUGUUCCUGUUUCAUCUAAGGUCGAUAAGCUGAUUUUGGAGGAUCAGGUACGCUAAAGGGAAUCAGUGGCACAGGGAAGGCUGUUUGGAGAGAUAGUAAUUACUUUGAAAUUGUAAGUAUUUGUUCCCAAUCUCUGGAAACAAGAAUUAAAUUGUGAUUGAGUUAAGAGUUUGAGAGGAUUAGCUGAAGGAGUUUUGCGGCUUUAAAAGAAACAGGAAAAACCUUUUUCUUUUGCUCUGUCUUUACCUAAGCCGGGGCAAUAUCUUUAAUAAAUAUGUUGCUUAAUACA
rnacentral:lncRNA from 1 species